rnacentral:rRNA from 1 species
UACGUAGGGGGCAAGCGUUGUCCGGAUUUAUUGGGCGUAAAGAGCGUGUAGGCGGCCAAGCAGGUCCGCUGUGAAAACUCGAGGCUCAACCUCGAGAGGUCGGUGGAAACCGUUUGGCUAGAGUCCGGAAGAGGAGAGUGGAAUUCCCGGUGUAGCGGUGAAAUGCGCAGAUAUCGGGAAGAACACCCGUGGCGAAGGCGGCUCUCUGGGACGGUACUGACGCUGAGACGCGAAAGCGUGGGGGAGCAAACAGG